UUGACCUCGAAUCAGGUAGGAAUACCCGCUGAACUUAAGCAUAUCAAUAAGCGGAGGAAAAGAAACCAACAGGGAUUGCCCCAGUAACGGCGAGUGAAGCGGAACAGCUCAAAUUUGAAAUCUGGCUCUCGGGCCCGAGUUGUAAUUUGUAGAGGAUGCUUUUGGUGAGGUGCCUUCCGAGUUCCCUGGAACGGGACGCCAUAGAGGGUGAGAGCCCCGUCUGGUUGGACACCGAUCCUCUGUAAAGCUCCUUCGACGAGUCGAGUAGUUUGGGAAUGCUGCUCUAAAUGGGAGGUAUAUGUCUUCUAAAGCUAAAUACCGGCCAGAGACCGAUAGCGCACAAGUAGAGUGAUCGAAAGAUGAAAAGAACUUUGAAAAGAGAGUUAAAAAGUACGUGAAAUUGUUGAAAGGGAAGCGCUUGUGACCAGACUUGGGCUUGGUUGAUCAUCCGGGGUUCUCCCCGGUGCACUCUUCCGGCUCAGGCCAGCAUCAGUUCGCCCUGGGGGAUAAAGGCUUCGGGAAUGUGCUCUCUCCGGGGAGUGUAUAGCCGCUGCGUAUACCCUGUGCGGACUGAGGUUCGCGCAU
rnacentral:rRNA from 1 species